CCCUUAGAUGUCCUGGGCCGCACGCGCGUUACACUGAUGCACUCAACGAGUCUGCCUUGGCCGAGAGGCCUGGGAAAUCUUGUUAACACGCAUCGUGAUAGGGAUAGAUUAUUGCAAUUAUUAAUCUUGAACGAGGAAUUCCUAGUAAACGCAGAUCAUCAAUCUGCAUUGAUUACGUCCCUGCCCUUUGUACACACCGCCCGUCGCACCUACCGAUUGAAUGGUCCGGUGAAGCCUCGGGAUUGCGAUGAGUUUCCUUCAUUGGGAGUUUGUCGCGAGAACUUGUCUAAACCUUAUCAUUUAGAGGAAGGUGAAGUCGUAACA
rnacentral:rRNA from 1 species